GGCUAACGCUGGCGGCGUGUCUUAGCCAUGCAAGUCGAGCGGACUUAUGGGGUAACUUAUAAGUCAGCGGCGGACGGCGGAGUAACACGUAGCUAACCUACCCUCUGGACGGGGAUAACCUACCGAAAGGUGGGCUAAUACCCGAUGUAGUCAUCCUGUAUAGGGGUGAUGAAAGGUGGGCUUCUGUUUACAAGCUCAUGCUGGAGGAGGGGGCUGCGGCCUAUCAGGUAGUUGGUAGGGUAAUAGCCUACCAAGCCGAUGACGGGUAGCCGGCCUGAGAGGGUGACCGGCCCGAGGGGCACUGAGAUACGGGUCCCACUCCUACGGGAGGCAGCAGGCUAGAAAUUUGGGCAAUGGGGGAAACCCUGACCCAGUGACGCCGCGUGCAGGAAGGAGCCCUUCGGGGUGUAAACUGCUGUCGUGUAGGGAGAAGGGUACUAAGGUGAACAAUCUUAGUACUUGACGGUACUACAGGAGGAAGCCCAGGCUAAACCUCGUGCCAGCAGCCGACGGUAAAAUAGCGUACU
rnacentral:rRNA from 1 species